UUGCACAUUUCAUUGACCUGCUUUCUUCUGAAUAUGUGAGCAGUGUUAUUUCUUAUGUGCUAUACAAAUACUUGAAGGUUAAUUAGCAGAAUAACUGUAUAUAGUAAUGCUGCCAGUCUCCUUCAAACAAAA
ensembl:snoRNA